CAGUCGCCGCGGGAAUACGUAGGGUGCAAGCGUUAAUCGGAAUUACUGGGCGUAAAGCGUGCGCAGGCGGUUGUGUAAGUCAGAUGUGAAAUCCCCAGGCUCAACCUGGGAACUGCAUCUGAUACUGGCAAGCUUGAGUCUCGUAGAGGGGGGUAGAAUUCCAGGUGUAGCGGUGAAAUGCGUAGAGAUCUGGAGGAAUACCGGUGGCGAAGGCGGCCCCCUGGACGAAGACGGACGCUCAGGUGCGAAAGCGUGGGGAGCAAACAGGAUUAGAUACCCGCGUAGUCCCUGUCUCUUAUAC
rnacentral:rRNA from 1 species